CGGAGAGUGACAGAAAUUCUCAGGUUCCAUUGUGCUCGGCCUUCCACCCGCCUGGACUCUCCUCCUGGAGAGAGAGAGGACGCUGCUUCGGCGGGGCUGGCCCAGAGGAGCGGAGGGCAUGAAAGAGACGGGCCCUGCCAAGAGGGAGAAGAAGGUACAGGCCUCUCUCUCCACUGUGGAACUUGCCAGACCAGCAAAUGUUCCUGACAGCUUCUGAGAAGAAAGGGGGGGGGGAAGAAAGAUUAUUUUAAAAAUAGCAGACACCAAAUUAGGUGACCUAAUUAGGCCCUGAUGGGAUGGUGGCCAAAAUAAUGUCACCAAAAUCCUUCUUCAAAACAGCCAUAAUUACUGUUGCAGAAAGGGUGGUGGGUAAUAAGCAUGGUGAGAAAAAGGCUUUAGCUCUGUGGGAUAGCACCUGCUUGGCAUGCAGAAGGUCCCAGGUUCAGUCCCCAGCAUCUCCAGGUAGAGCUGGGAGAAGCCCCUGUCUGAAAUCCUGGACAGCUGCUGCCAGUCCGUGUAGUCAGUACUGAACUGGAUUGGACCCGUGAUAUGAGUCAUAGAAUCAUAGAAUUGUAAAGGUGGAAGCUUGAAGACCACAAAAUGUAUGAUGCAGUGAGAGUUGCCUGAAAACAGGCCAUGCAUGAAACUAGGUGUUUAUAAAAGUUUAAGACAGCACAUCAUACAUUGGAUGUGUGUCCAAAGAAAAUAAAAGGCUUUAACUAAAGGAAAUAGCAGACAAACAGAAGCAGCAGCAGCACAAAAUGAAGUUUGAACAUGUGACAUUUCUCUGAAAAUCAUUUAUGGUGGCUCAGUCUAUGUGUUAUUUCAAGUCCAGCACCAUUAUUCUGCAAACACCACAGCACUCUGAUGCUUGUAUUGCUGUUUACAGAAACACAGAAUUCAAUCCCUGUGAUUACAUAUUGUAACAUAAAUAGUCUAAUGAGAGAAAAGCAUCUUCUGGUAAGUUUUUUAAAAUUCAUAUUAAAAUAUAAUAAUAAUAACAACCUCUGCAUUAGAUACCACAUUUUGAUAGGAGCAGGAUGAUUCUCAUGUCUUCCCAUUGCGGAUCUCUUCAACAUUCAUAGUGGCAGAUGUCAUUCUUGUCAUUGACCACAAAGGUAAUGCAAAAUGUUUUGGUUCAAGCCCAAAGACCUUGCAGUCUCCCUACAGGGUUAACCCCCAAGCCCUGUGAUUUCAUUUUCUGUAUGCUUGUGGGUGGAAUGGCUGUCAGGAAAGAGGUCAGAGUUUGGUGGCAGCCAGUUUUCAAUGGCACGCCAGUAAAUUCUGUGUCAAAAUGCUUCUUCAGUGAACUCUGCUUGCUGGAGCAUUUGCUUCCAGUCUCUGGGUUUUAUCCAUCUUGGAGAGGGAGCUAGUGCAGCUGUGGGUGGAGAGAUAAUAGCUGCAUGGCCACUGAACCAAACAUGCUGCCAGAAGGGGCUAGGAUGGCGCACACAUGCUUCUUGGGUCAGAAGCUGAUAGACUUGUUCCUGCAAUAAGGGAAUUUCAGCCAUGUAAACAUCAAGAGUUCUAAAUCAAAGCUUGCUCCCUGUCCUUGAGCCUGCCACACUGACUGCUUCACCCUUUGUGUUUUUUAGAUGUUUAUACCUAAGGUAAUUUUAACUGUACAUAUAAAAAUGCCAAAGCAAAGUACAGGUGUCGGAAACAUGAACAUCAUAUCAUAUCAGGUGAUGUUUAAAUAUGAACAUCAUAUUGCAGCUAUUGAGGUCCUUGACUGAAUGUGAACUGAGUAACAAACCCAGAUAAAUUCAUAAUUUUAAUGGGAUUUUCUUUUUACUUUUAAAAAUAGCCCUAAAAUUUAAUAAAGGCUCCCAGGGCAGCUUACAGAUUACUAUAAACAAGGCAUCCCUGUCAUCAGCAUUAUUCUGUCUGUCUGUCUGUCUACCCAAAAGGAAAAUGCUCAUGGCUCCACUACUAGAAGUGGCUCAUGGUGUGAUUACACAAGAAAAGGGUCUUCUCAGUGGUACCAUCUAGACCUCUGGAACUCACUCCCUGGGAAAAUAUGGUUAUCCUUCUCACUACUGGUCAGAUAAAAACUUACUUAUUCACCUGGUCAAUGGGAAAUUAAGUGUCCCAGGGUCCCACAUGUCACACUAAGGGAUAUCACAAAUCACAGUGCUAAGGAAUCUGCACUGGCUGUUUAUUAGCCACUCAAUCAAGUUUCCUGAAAAACUAUUUCCCCUUCCACUGCCAAGUAAGGGCAUCCAGAUUAGCAAAUGGGGCUUGUCUAGUUUUCCCAAGGCCUGAUGUUUAUUGGCUUGUGGUUACUUAGAGGUAGGCUUUUUCACUGGUUCUUGUCGUUGUCUUGUUCAGCUGUUUAUGUGAUAAAGGGGAGCCAUAUUGGGGUGAAAGCGUCCUCUUCUGUUUGUCCCCAUGUCAGUUUCAGUUUAUUGGUUAGUUUUUUCUAGCAAGGCCGUUUCCCUUACAAUUUGAUACAAUUGGCAGCACUAUUGUGGAAUGCCCUCCCUUCUGAAAUAUGAGAGGCUGCAUGCAUACUGUCAUUCUGCUAGGUCUUGUUUAGGCAAGCAUUUCCAUGAACUUGAACUUCUUGAUCCAACUGUAUUAAUUGCUUUCUAACUAUUUAAUUGUCAUACUUUUAAUUGUCAUAGUUUAUUGUAUAUUUUAAAUAUGGGCAUUUAAUGGAUUUAUAGAAUUAUUUUGUGGAAUUGUUUUAAUUAUGUAUGGAUUUUAUACUUGCUUUUAUGCUUGUAAGCCACUUAAAAGCCAUUAUAGCAUAUAAGCAACAUAUAAAUUUAGUAAUAAUAAUAAACACAGUAGUUUAUAUUCAAUUACAAUAAACCAGAAAUAAGUCUACUAAGGAUAGAUAAAUCAGUUGACCACGUUGUCUGGGGUUGGAGGGCAUUGGAGUCCAAUAAUAUCUUGAGGGCAUCACAUUGGCUAUCCAUGUUGUAAGGGUGCAGUGGUGUACUGGAGGAGGGAUGGGCACAUAUACCACUGAUUACAAAUAUGAUGACAUCAUCUCUUGAGGUGCUAUUCACCAAUCCUCUGCAUGCCAAAUGAACAACUUUUCCUCAGAGAGAAACCCACCAAAUAUGCUAAGCAGAUGAAGAGGUAGGUUACAUUAGCAUGGAGGGCUAAGAGUCAAAUUGGCAACUGGAAAAAACAAAAAGUCCCUCUAUUAUGGCCAACCAAAAUGUCACAACACAGAAAGCAAGCUUCUGAGUCUAGCAGACAAUAUUGAGUUGAGAUGGACUAAAAUGGCCUGACUUAGUCAUUGGCAGCUUCCUAUUUCCCUUUCCCCCUUACAACCCUGAAAGUUGCUGUUCUCCUUCAAAUCUGCUCACUUUAGCACAUUCUUUUCCCUCCCAUGACUAGAUCUAUAACUUAGCCCGCUCCUACCAUAGUUUUGCCUCUAGAUGUUUAGGUUCCUGCUGGCAUAGGAAGGAUAGAGAUAUUUGGGAUUGGGCUUCACAAUUCAAGUUUUCGGAUGACAAAGGCAUAUACAGGGACCCCAAUAUGCAUAAAAUGGUGUCAGGCCCAAUUAUUGGGCCCCUCCAUGCGUUCUUUUUAUUGUAUCCUCAUGAUGAUUUGUGUUCAUGAUGGUAUCAGUUUGGUUAUACACACAAUGCUGCUUUCAAUGUUGUUUGCAUCUGCAAAGGUUUUGAGUGGACAUACUGCUUUCUCCAGUUAGUAAAUAUAAUAAGAGCCUGUUGAAUCAGGCCAAUAGUUCAUCUAGUCCAGCAUACUGUUUUCAGGCCAACCAGACGCCUAUGCGAAGCCCACAAGCCGAAUCUCAACACAACAGCCACUGUUGGCUACUGAGAUAGCAGAAUGCUUGACUAGAUGGGCCUUUGGCCUCAUUUGAUCCUGCAGGGCUUUCUUAUGUUCUUCUUAUGUUCACAUCUGUUAUGUCACCUGUGUGGUGGAGCAAAGGGGACAUGCAGCUCCUCCACUAUGUAGAAGGUCCCAGGAACAUCCCAAUCAGUACUUGGACAUUCUUCAAGCUUUCCAAAGUCCUGCUGAAAAACUGUCCAGUUCAUAACCCAUCUCAUAUGGGAACUACAACUGGAUUUUCCCCAGUCACUGCCAUGGGACCAGAUAAAAUUCAAAUUUACAUAUUCAUUACAUCAAACUGCACAUUGCAACCACUGUGAAAUCUUUUAAAAAAAAAACAUUUAUACACAUUUUCUUUAUUUCUACUAUAUUCUGUUCAGGUUGUCUCUUUUUGCCUACUAAGUCCUCUCUGGUAUGGAACAUUCCUGCGUCAAUUUCUAUUUCCUUUCACACUCUCUUGCGCUAUUAGCUCAACUGAAGAUGCUGGUCUAAUUGCUUGCUUUGUGACUUCUAUGAGGCUGCCAUUAUCUAGAAACCCUUUCUUGACCUUAUUCCAUGCCUCAAGCUCUCUUAUUUUAAUCCUUCAACAUGCACUUGCCCUGUUAGUCACUGCUGACACUCACACAUACCUCAGCACCCUGUUCUGCUCCAUAGUGGCUGGCAUAAGAUGGCAAAAAGCACACUGCUGAAGCGAUUCUUUGUAUUUUCCAAAUGAAGAACUGAAACUACUAAACCAGGGGGUGAAAUGCUACCAGCGCUAUGUCAACACAAGAUCAUUCUGUAAAACAUGAAUAUACUCAUUAAUCUAAUUCAUUUAAAAAGGAUGAAAAUGAGGGCAGUUGUAGAACAUCUGCUUUGCAUGCAGAAGGUCCCUACUUACAUCUUGAAGUGAGGUAAGACUGGGAAUAUAUCUCCUGCCUGAAAAAUCUGGAGAGCUAUUACCAGUCAGUGUAGAGCAGGGAUGUCCAACAGGAUGAUUGCGAACCUAAACCCCCUCCCCUCCAAAAAAAGGGGUACAUAGAUCACUGCCAGUUUUUUAUUCUGUGAGUAGAUCGCAGUUUCUUGGGAGCUGGACGUCCCUGGUGUAGACAGUACUGAGCUAGAUGGCUCAGUGGGUGGCUCAGUAUAAGGGAGCUUCCUGUGUUCCUGUAUUCACAAUCCACUCAAAUAGAAACACUUUAAGCCCCAACAAUUUCAAUGAGAAAGUUGAAGACAUGCAUGCUUAAAUAUCUCCUACUGAAAUAAUUUCCAUCAGACGUACUAAACCUUGGCUAUAUCAUGUCUUUAAUAGUGAAAAUGACUUUCACAUCUGAGAAAAAAUGUGUAAAUAAAUUAUGGUAUAUAGCACAAUAUUUUGUUUUGUUUUUCAGUGGUUCCCUGAGAUGCUAAGUAUGUGAAUUGUCCACUUAUUGUUGUUAGCCGCCCUGAGCCCAGCUUCGGCUGGGGAGGGCAGGAUAUAAAUAAAUUUUUUUUAUUAUUAUUAUUAAAUGUAGGAGAUGGUUUGAGGUUUAAAUCUGUAGAUUAAAAUUUAAACCUCCCACAAAUAUGUAGGAGAAAUACAAAAAGUAAGGGGACUGUGAAGUAUUUUAGCAGAGUAAAACACAUACAUUUUACAGCUUACUAAAGCUUAGGAAUUAAGCAAAUACACAUAUUUACCCCUUUUCUGGUUUGCUGAUUUCCCCCUCUUCACCCCCAUUGCAGAAACUGACCCACACAUUUUUUGUAAGAUAAACAUAAAAUGUUUAUUUAAAUUUCAAUGCAGGCAGCAAAUUCAAGUAAGAAAACCUCUCGGCUUUAAAAUAUAAAUUUGGCUUCAAAAUAGGCUGCAUGUGUUUGGAUCCCUCAGACACAAGUCUGAAAAAGUUUGGAAGCAUGGCGGAAAAAACCGAGAUGGAAGGUAGUGUAAAGGAUCUCGUUUGUUACAGACUUCCGGCCCAGAGGUGGCCGAGGAAGUGGCCACACACAGAGGGUCCUCUCUAGGAAGUUUAGGAGCUUUCUGUGUACCAGCCCUGUGCUUGUCUGGCAAAACUCGUACUGUAUUUGUGAUUUGGCUGCAAACCCCACAGUAAGCGAUUGCUUUUUAUUGUAAUGCUUCUUUUUGUUGUAGUAGAUUGUACGCCUUUUGGGGUAGAAUUCUUAUUUUGAUUGUGUACAGCCGUCUUGUGCAUUGAUGGUGCUAUAUAAAUAAAUGUUAAUAAUGAGGCCAGCACUUAUGUAGGUAGUGGGUACAAGUGAAGAAUCUGUCUUCAGGGGCUUCGUUUCGGAAGCCCUUUAUUCCCAUUACAACCAUUCCUCCUUGUAUGCUUCUGGCCAACUUAAUGAUUCUACACACACGAGUAAACUGUAUAACCACCAGAUGGUUCAUAAAUCCCACUGAUUAAUCCCAGUGGGAUUUUCUUCAGAGUCAACCUACAUAGGAUUGCGCUGACAGCGUUGGCGGGUAUAACUCCACAAAGUGCUCUGAAAAUCGAAUCGAAAUAUUGUAUUUUACUAUGGUGCGCUUGAAUCGUGACUUCUCCUCCUUGGACCUUAACGGCGAUUUGUCUUGCCUCCCUCCUUCCCACUCCGCCUGUGAAAAGGAGCCGCUCUCUGCCUCUUCUUCCCAUCAAAGCCCGAGGAAGAAGAAGCAGCGCUGGCUGAGAGAAAGUCAGACGGAUCACGAUCUGACCUCCCCCCCAUUCGCUACGAAUUCGCCUCGGUUGCUUUACAAGAGAGCAGCCUCUUCGCGUGGAAGGAGAGGAGGAGGAGGGAGGGAGCGAGAUGGUAGCUGCUGCUGGAACGACGAUGCGAAAGCACCAGGGAGAGGGGAGGCCUGCUCGGCUGCUGGCUGGCUGGUAAUCAUCUAAAUGGAGAACGAGGCCGGCUUUGCCAGGAAGGAGGAGGAGGAGGAGAGGGUUUUGCGCGAGAGGCGCACUUUCUUUAUUUUAAUGAGGGCGCAUAAUGCUGUAAACUGGAUUUGCAUCCUCUUCUGUCUGGCCAGAUAUCUGCCGAGAACAAAUCCAAGUUUUGCACACACGCACACAGCCAGUCAGAAACUGUUCCUUACGCUUAGCUAAACAUUCCCUCCUGGUUAAACAGUUUAGGGAGGAGAGGAGAGAAGGACGGUGUGGAUUUGAAAACAAAAAACAAAAACCCUCUUUUCUGUAUGAUGAUCUGAAAUGAAUGAUGUUGACAAACGGAAGCCUCCUCUGAAUCCUGCCUUUUUAAAAGGGACUUGAUAUAGCUGGGCUAGCCAUGGGGAGAGAGAGAGAGAGAGAGAGAGAGAGAGAGAGAGAGAGAGAGAGAAGACGAGCCAAUCGCUGCAGCUUGCUGACUGAUGGGCCGCUUUAGCUCUGCUGCUUAAGAUUCCUGCGCACGCUUAUUGUUUUAUUAUUAUUUAUUAAAUUUCUAAACCGCUCUUCAUCUGAAAAUUACAGAAUUACAGGGCGGUUUAGAAUAUAUCCGAGAGUGAGUGCCACUGAACUUAAUGGGACUUAUUUCAGAGCAGACAGAUAAAGAGCAUUGCGCUGCUAAUUUAUUUUAAGGGUUCAGCAAACUAUGGUGGGUAAGGCUAUCAGUGGCUGGCUGUGUCAGACGUUCAGAGAGUAUCGGUCACUGGGGGACAACAGCGGGAGACGGCCGCUGCUUGCGGGUUUCCCACAGGUAUCUGGGAUCCAGGAUGUUGAACUCGAUGUACCUUUUUAAGGUUUAGCAUCACGCUGUUCCACACGAAUGCACAUUAAAAAAAAUCUGACUCGAAUACAAAGAAGGCGAUUAGAAAUAUUUUGUACUGAUUAUGAACACGGAGUGGAUAGUUUUUUGCUUCUAUUUAAUGUUACUUCCCAUAAUUAAGUAACACAGUGACUGAUAAUCGGUUGUUCUUUCAUAGCUCCCUGAAAAGUACGCUUCCUUCUGCCUAAUAGUAAGACUCCUCGAGGUUUUAGCGUAAGUCGUUUUAGACUUCCCGGCUUUGGAUAACGCCGUGCAAUUCUGGGCUGCAAUAGGAUUCGCCUCUCUCUUAGCAGUUGCUUGCUUUUCGUGAGACUUUCUAAAAUGAAAACCACACAUCUUUCCACUUGCCACCAGUCGUAGUUACCUGGAUCUUCCUUUCCCCCCUAUGGGGACAACAUUUGCUGCCUCCAGUCUGUAGGGACCUCACCUGUUCUCCAAUAAUUCUCAAAGAUAAUAGACAAAGGCUCUGAAAUUACAUCCGCAAAUUCUUUUAGUACCCUUGGAUGCAGCUCAUCAAGCCCUGGAGAUUUGAAUACAUUUAAAGUAGUUAGGUGUUCUCUUACUGCCUCUUUUCCUAUAUUGGGCUGCAACUCCCUCCUUACAUCAUUUACUCUGUUAUCACCAGGUUGGGCAUCACGGAAGACAGAGGCAAAGUAGGUGUUGAGUAGUUCCAUCUUUUCUCUGUCACCCAAUAGCAUUUCUCCAUGUUCCCCACUUGCUUGUUCUUCCUCUUACUUUGGACAUAGCUGAAGAAACCUUUUUUAUUAUUUUUAACCUCUCUUGCAAGCCUGAGCUUAUUCUAAGCUUUAGCCGGCUUGACUUUCCCCCUGCAACUGUUGGCUAUUCAUGUAUACUCCUCCUUUGUGAUUUUCCCUUUCUUCCAUUUCUUUAUACAUGCCCUUCUUAAUUCUCAGCUCAUCUGUAAGCUCCUUAUGCAGCCACACCAAUUUCCUUAGAUGCUCCCCACUUUCCUUUCUUGUUGAUAUUGUCUGCUGCAUUUGGGCCUUCAAUAUUUCUCCUUUUAGAAACUGCUAUCUUUCUUGGACUCCCUUCUCAUUGAGUAUUUCUGACCAUGGGAUCACACACAGUAGCUCCUUAGGCUUUUCGAAAUUGGCCUUUUUAAAGUCCAGAAUGCACGUCCAACUACACUCAGUUUCCCCUUGCCUCUGUAUCCUGAAACCAGGAGAAAAAUGAUCACUUCCUCCCAACUUUCUGAGCACUUCCACAUCAUCAAUCAAUUCCUCCCUAUUGGUGAGGACCAGAUCCAAGGUAGAUGGUCCCCAUGUUUGUUCUUCCACCUUCUGGAAAAUGAAAUUGUCAGCAAUGCAUUGGAGGAGUCUGUCAGAACUUACACUCUGGGCAGAGUUUGAGUUCCAACAGAUAUCAGGGAAGUUGAAGUCCCCCACGAUUACUAUUUCUCUCCUUUUUCAAUGUUUGGUAAUCUGCUCCAGUAAGGCAUCACCCAAGUAUUCAGUCUUAACAAUCAUAACAAUUAUGUUAUGAUUCAGAUUUCAUAAGUGUAAAACAGUAACCACUGCCCAGUGUGGUGUAGUGGUUAGAGUGUCGGAAUAGAACCUGGGAGACCAGGGUUUGAUUCCCCAUUUGGCCAUGAAGCUCAGUGAGUGACCUUGGGCCAAUCACUGCCUCUUGGCUUAACUGACCUCACAGGGUUGUUGUGGGGAUUACAUGGGAGGGACCAUGUAUGUCACAUUGAGUUCCUUAAAGAAUGUAAGGUCAAUAAGUCACACACACACACACAACCCCCAUUUAUAUUCUUAUUCUGAAAAUGUAUCCAGCGUUCCAAUCAUUAUAUACUUGGGAGUAGAAUUCAUUGAACUCAGUGAGAAUUUCUACUGAGUAAAAACAUGCAUAGGAUCGGGCAGUGGCAUGCACACUUGCUGAUAGAGUUAAACCGUGUUGAACUCAGAAGGAUCCCCGCCCCGCUGCAUAACAUUCCCAGGAUCUUGCUGCAGAGCCCGAGAAACCAGAUCCCCUCCCUUUGUGUAUAAAGCAAUGGGCUGAUUAUGCAUAUUCUGGAAAUAAUGAGCCCAAUCUGUCUCCCGAGAUGACUUGCCAGUGGAAGAAUUUCUGCAUUUUCAUCACAGGACACCUGAAGCUGUCAUUAUUGACUCUAUUUUGCCAGGAGGGGCAAAUCAAGUUGCUGGCUGCGUUGGCCCUCAUUUCACAUAAAUAUCAAAAUUACUGGCACUCGCCAUAUAGCCCCAACAUGCAACUAACUCAAGCAAGAAUCUAAUCUCCUCAUUUGGCAUGUUUAUCUUCUGAACAAAGCUGGGUCUAGUGCGGUUGCCUUAUGGGCAACUUCUGGCCAGUGAGGCAGAUGUGAAAGCACACCCCUUUUCUCUCUGAGUAAUUGGAGGUGGGCUACCUUAAGUAGAAAGGUGGUAGAAUGCUGUGCUGCACCCCACAGGUUGCAAGAGUGGGGCUGCAUUUUUAAUGCUCUACCAAUGAAAAUUCUCCCUGCAUGUUUUAAAGUAGAAUAUCAAAACCUACCCCCAGGGUAAUCACUCAUUUUCAUUCCAGCCUACUCACAGGGUUGUUGUGAUGGCGAAAUUGGGGAGGGUGGAGAGUCUUGUAUGCUGCCACAGCAGAAUGUAAGUGUAAUAUACAUAAAUGUUUUACAUGCAGGGAGCUUUGCUCAUGGAAUACAAUAGAUAGACAGAAAGAUAUUUCAAAAACAUGGCUUCCUGGCUACAGUCUUAUUAGCACUUAAAAAAAAUUUCUCUCCCCCACCCACCCCUUUUAUCUCAUUUUGGCCUAAUGGUUUCACCCUUGGAAAAUUGAUCCUCAUAGUUUUGCCUAAAAAUGUUAGAGAGAAGUAGGGAUUUCCCCCCCCCAUCAACUAUGUAAUUCCAGUAAUAAACAUAGCUUUAUUAUUUUGCAAACUUAGAGUAUCCAGGGUGGUUGUACCCAGGGUAAAGUGUGUGGGGUUUUGUAUUAAUUUUACUUCUUCUGAGCAUUAAACUCCAAACACCACCAUUCACUUUUCUCUACAGAAGUGUCUCUACACCUUGAUUCAUUAGCUCCCUCUUCUCCCCUUUGGGCUGUAGAAAAUCUGCAAUCAAAAUUACAAUUAUGUUUGCUAAAUAAGCAUAUGAAGGGGUUAAGUUUCAGAGUUCCUGUUAAAUAUCCAAUCAUAAUACUUCAAUUAAAAUAAAAUUGAUGUUUUUUAUUGGAAAAUCAAUAAAAAUGAUUUUAAAAAAGGUUUCAGAGAUCCUGUAUUCCUAGAGAACACAGGUCUGUGUGAUGUCAUAUCCCUUUCUUCCUGCAGCAGGAAACAGGACAGAGGAGCUUAAUAUUUUCUCCUUCCUCCUUGCCUCAGUUUCUCUCUUCCUUUGAAGCCAACAAUGUGAGCAGAUGUACAUCCUUGGACUCUGCCCAAACUACAUUUGUAUUUUGUAACUAAGAAGUAUUUUUGCCUGCAUACUACUUUGAUAUAUUUGCUGCCUGCACUGAAACGUAAGUAAACUUUUUUUUUUUUUUACACUAAAGCAUGUGGUUGAUUCUUAGCAAUGGGGACAAAGAGGGGAAAGGUCAACCAACCACAAAUAAGCAGGAAUAAGAGGUGUAAUUGCCUACGGUAAUUCCUAGCAUCUAGUAAGCUGCAAAAAUGCUUGUGUUUUUACUCUGCUAAAAGGGCUUCACAGCCUGUUUACUCUCAUAUUUCUCUCACACACAUGGUACGAAAGGUUUAAAAUGUAAUUUACAGAUUUAAUCCUCAAUGCAUCUCCAUCAUGGGCUACCGCCAAAGGAACAUCAGCACUGCAUCUCACAGUUCCCCAUUUAUGCAUCUAAUCUAUUUUCUUUCUGCCUCCUCUUCCAUUCUAUUAUUUCUUUUUGACCUGAGUUUGGUAGUCAGCAACAGCACAUGCGGACUUUACUCCUGCAUAAAACCACAUGUUGGGUGAGUCUGAGAUGUAAAAAAAAAAAGCCUUGGAGCAUCAGAGACUGACUGCAACAGGAUGAAAAAACUGGCACUGAUUCCACCCUGUGCCUCUGAACUCUUCAAGAGCAGGAGGAGUUGCACAAAACAGGAAAAGGCUCUUGGGACCUUCUGACUCAGGAAAUAUCAAAAUGCUUUAGUGUGUUCCUAGGGAUGCGGGUGGCGCUGUGGGUUAAACCACAGAGCCUAGGACUUGCUGAUCAGAAGGUUGGCGGUUCGAAUCCCUGCGACGGGGUGAGCUCCCAUUGCUUGGUCCCUGCUCCUGCCCACCUAGCAGUUCAAAAGCACGUCAAAGUGCAAGUAGAUAAAUAGGUAUCACUCCGGCAGGAAGGUAAACCGCAUUUCCGUGCACUGCUCUUGUUCGCCAGAAGCGGCUUAGUCAUGCUGGCCACAUGACCCGGAAGCUGUAUGCCGGCUCCCUCGGCCAAUAAAGCGAGAUGAGCGCCGCAACCCCAGAGUCGGUCACGACUGGACCUAAUGGUCAGGGGUCCUCUUUACCUUUAUGCAUGUCUACUCAGAUGUAAGCCCAGUUGUGUUCAGUAGAACUUACACCUAGGUAAGUGUGUAUAGAAUUGCACCAAGGCUGUGCAUACACCAUACAUUUAAAGCAUCCCCCCCCCCCAAGAAUCUUGGGAACUGUAUAUUGCUAAAGGUGCUGGAAAUUGUAGCUCUGUACAGAUUAAACUACAGUUCUCAGGAUUCUUUUAAGGGUGUGAAGCGUGUUUUUAAUGAAAUGUGAUACACACCAAAUGAAGGCAUAUAUAUCUACAUCUUUGAAAAUAUCAUAUUUGUAAAUAUAUCCUGGUGUGAUUGACGUGAGACUCCUGAUGGGGCCUGUUGCUGGUAAGUGUGCGUAGGACAGCAGUCUGAACUGCACCACUUUGGGGUAAAUAGAAUCGUGGGGCAAAAGGUAAAAAAUAGGUUUUCUUCUUGAUACUGACGCCACUGAAAAUUUCUCUAGAAAAUGGAAGCCAGGAUGAAGAGGAUAGCAUAGUUCUGAAACGCAUGCAAAUGACCCAAGGAAACUAAGAUCGUUGUUGAUUUUCCAUCAAGCAUGAGCUCUUUAAGGCUAAUUAAUUCAAUCUUUUCCUUUCUCCUCCCUCUCCCCCACCACUUUCUCCUUUGCUAGGUUUUCUGAUUACUUCAUCUCUCUCGGCAGCGUUUGUCUGAGACGGAAACUUCUCUUGGUGUUUCCAUAGGCCACUUCUUUCCAUCUUUCCUACUCAAUGUUUUCAAAAGGCAAGACGUCGGGUCCUUUCAAGGUUCGCCAAGUUUACCUGAGUGGAAAAUCACACACACAAACACACACACUCUCGGGAGCGCAAGACGCACAAAACGCCUUGCGCGAUGAAUUAUCAUUAAACAGAGCAGAAGUUAUAGAGAGACAGAGGAAUGGUGGGGGGAGCCACUGAGGCAGGGAAAAUGCGCUUAGAAGUGCCUUUUAAUUUCCUAAUCGAGUUAAAGCAGGUUUGGAAAGCGGGAGGCACCGGGAGAGGGGGACGCUUCUCGCUCCAUCCCAAGCGGCGCAGGCGAGCACCUUUGACUUGGUCUCUUCGCUCUCUGCAUCCUCUCAGCGCCAGGCACCUUCGGCAUCCUUCUUCCCGCCCCACGAGUCUUGUGGGAUUGAGGCUUUAGGAGUCCUGAGCUGUCCUAAGGAAAAAGAAACGGAGAGAGAGAGAAGGGCUCUUGUGUUAAUUAAAUGAGGGAAGCAUGCCAGAGAAAAGGGCAGGCAAGCCAACGAGACUGGUGUGGUGGGUUGCAAUUAGGCACCAAUGAAACAGGCUGCUCUGGUCUCUGGGUGUAAGGGAAGAGGCAAAGCGCUUUUGACAUCCGUAGCGAAAGCCGACGGAUUUCAUCUCAACUUUGCAACCGUGCUUCAUUAAGGGUUCCGCAAUAUGAUAAAGAACAUUUCCAUAAGUUGCAUUCUUUCUAUCUUGAUAGUGUGGCGCAAAGGCGAGGGGGCUGACCUUGCUGGGGAGACACAGCUGGGGAUACAAGCCCACCUUCUGCUUUUUUAAAAAAGCUCAUUAUCUGAUCCCGGAACCAGUCGCUGUUUCUUAUAUUGGCCUACCUCACAGGAAUGUUGUGAGGAUAAAACAGGAGAAUAAAACAGGGAGAGGAUGAAAUCAGGUUCUUGUAAGAAGGUGGGAUUGACCUGCUAGGCUCCUUUCAAGGCAGCACUCCUGUCUUCGCCUUCCUUCAGUGAUCACCACCUGCUCAAAGCUCACCAAGGCAUUGUUCUAUUUUCACGAAACACGCUGGCACAGAAGCAGCCGCCUCCUGUUCCACUUUGUGAAUAUUGCGCCUUCUUGUAAAUAGAACAUUCAGCCGUGUUGGUUCUCUUGCUCUCACGCACAAAACCCCAGCUUGCAUCAGGACCACUAUCCACACCCAGCCAGAGGCACUCUCCUCCAGGAGAGACUCUUGGCCAUAUAAAUUUUGAGAAUGACUUUCCUGAAACCUUGUACUAGUUUUUUGAGAGUGUCCAUAAAAAUAAUCAUCACUGAUGAGGCAGGGCUGGGGAACCUAUGGACUUCGAUAUGUUUCUGGACUCCCAGCUCCCAUUAUCCUUGACCAUUCAUUGCCCAUGCUAGCUGAGGCUGAUGGGAACUUGGAAUGCAACACCAUGGGGGGUGCGUGUCACCCUCCUGUUUUAAGGUAUAAUCCUCAAACCACUCUGAGUUCGCAGAACAUCGAGAAAAGGAAUUCACAGCAAAUCGCCUCUCCGUUGUGAUUUCUUAUUUCCAUUUACUUUCCUCCUAGGGAAAGAAGGCUGCGAUUUUCACGUCAGUGGGACGUACUCCCAGCUCUUAAGAGUGCAGUCCUGCAAGUCUACGCAGGAACCAGUCCAGCUGAGGUCACUGGGGCUUACUCCCAGAAAAGCAUCAGGG
rnacentral:lncRNA from 1 species